GUUCCGCCACGUUUGAGCGGGCGAGCCCGGCGGCCGGGAGACGCCAGGGAACGGGGCUGGUGGGGGUACAAAGGCUCGGUUCCGUCGCCUUCAGCCCUGCGGUGGGGGCACGGGGCAAGUGAGGGGACGGCAGAGGCGGCGUUCGGUGUGAGGCUGCGCCCUGGGCUCCUGAAAAUCCAGGGCUGCAGUCAUUUGAAGGCUUGACUGGGGCUGGAGGAUUUUCAUCCAAGAUGGCUCACUCACCCAGCUGUUGGCAGGAGACCUCGGUUCUUUGACUUCUCCGUAAGACUGUGAAGGGUGCUGUUCCCUUUAAGGACUCA
rnacentral:lncRNA from 10 species